rnacentral:rRNA from 1 species
UGGGGAAUUUUGGACAAUGGGGGAAACCCUGAUCCAGCCAUCCCGCGUGUGCGAUGAAGGCCUUCGGGUUGUAAAGCACUUUUGGCAGGAAAGAAACGUCAUGGGUUAAUACCCCGUGAAACUGACGGUACCUGCAGAAUAAGCACCGGCUAACUACGUGCCAGCAGCCGCGGUAAUACGUAGGGUGCAAGCGUUAAUCGGAAUUACUGGGCGUAAAGCGUGCGCAGGCGGUUCGGAAAGAAAGAUGUGAAAUCCCAGAGCUCAACUUUGGAACUGCAUUUUUAACUACCGGGCUAGAGUGUGUCAGAGGGAGGUGGAAUUCCGCGUGUAUCAGUGAAAUGCGUAGGUAUGCGGAGGAACACCGAUGGCGAAGGCAGCCUCCUGGGAUAACACUGACGCUCAUGCACGAAAGCGUGGGGAGCAAACAGG